GUUUCCAUAGUGUAGUGGUUAUCACGUUAAGCUUAACACGCCGAAAGGUCCCCAGUUCGAAACUGGGUGGAAACA
rnacentral:tRNA from 1 species